UGGGGAAUAUUGGACAAUGGGCGCAAGCCUGAUCCAGCAAUGCCGCGUGAGUGAAGAAGGCCUUCGGGUUGUAAAGCUCUUUUGUCAGGGAAGAAACGGUGAGGGCUAAUAUCCUUUGCUAAUGACGGUACCUGAAGAAUAAGCACCGGCUAACUACGUGCCAGCAGCCGCGGUAAUACGUAGGGUGCAAGCGUUAAUCGGAAUUACUGGGCGUAAAGCGUGCGCAGGCGGUUAUGUAAGUCAGAUGUGAAAUCCCCGGGCUCAACCUGGGAAUGGCAUUUGAGACUGCAUGGCUAGAGUGUGUCAGAGGGGGGUAGAAUUCCACGUGUAGCAGUGAAAUGCGUAGAGAUGUGGAGGAAUACCGAUGGCGAAGGCAGCCCCCUGGGAUAACACUGACGCUCAUGCACGAAAGCGUGGGGAGCAAACAGGAUUAGAUACCCCAGUAGUCCCUGAGCGGGCUGGCAAGGCGCAU
rnacentral:rRNA from 1 species